AUUGAACGCUGGCGGCAUGCCUUACACAUGCAAGUCGAACGGCAGCACGGACUUCGGUCUGGUGGCGAGUGGCGAACGGGUGGGUAAUAUAUCGGAACAUACCUUGUAGUGGGGGAUAACUAUCCGAAAGGAUAGCUAAUACUGCAUACGAUCUAAGGAUGAAAGCGGGGGAUCUUCGGACCUCGUGCUAUAAGAGUGGCCGAUAUCUGAUUAGCUAGUUGGUGAGGUAAAGGCUCACCAAGGCGACGAUCAGUAGCUGGUCUGAGAGGACGACCAGCCACACUGGAACUGAGACACGGUCCAGACUCCUACGGGAGGCAGCAGUGGGGAAUUUUGGACAAUGGGGGCAACCCUGAUCCAGCAAUGCCGCGUGAGUGAAGAAGGCCUUCGGGUUGUAAAGCUCUUUUGUCAGGGAAGAAACGGUUGUGGCUAAUAUCCAUGGCUAAUGACGGUACCUGAAGAAUAAGCACCGGCUAACUACGUGCCAGCCGCCGCCGUAACAC
rnacentral:rRNA from 1 species